rnacentral:rRNA from 1 species
GACGAACGCUGGCGGCGUGCUUAACACAUGCAAGUCGAGCGGUAAGGCCUCUUCGGGGGUACACGAGCGGCGAACGGGUGAGUAACACGUGGGUGACCUGCCCUCAGCUCUUGGAUAAGCCUUGGCAACUGGGUCUAAUACCCCACACGACCUUUCCUCCCACGUGGCUUGGUGGUAAGUUUUUUCGGCGGGGGACGGGCGCGCGCCCUAUCACCUUGUUGGUGGGGUGACGGCCUACCAAGGCGCCGACGGGUAGCCGGCCUGACAGGGCGACCCGCCCGGCUGGGACGGAGGCACGGCCCAGGCUCCUACGGGACGGAGCAGUGGGGAAUCCUGCGCAAUGCGCGGAAGCGGGACGCAGCGAGGCUGCGUGGGGGGUGACGGCGUUCGGGUUGUGCACCUCUCACGAUCCCGACGAAUUUGGACGGUAGCGGGAGAAGAAGGACCGGCCAAAUACGUG